rnacentral:sRNA from 1 species
AGGCUGAGGCAUGAGAAUUGCUUAAACCUGGGAGGCAGAGGUUGCAGUGGGCCAAGAUCACAACACUACACUCCAGUCUGGGUGAUAACGCGAGACUGUCUCAAAAAAAAACAAAAAGGAAUUUGGAGACUCCCCUACUCCAUCAACCAGAUGUGGUGACGCUAUUGAUUUUGUUCUGAGCUUUAAACUUUUGAGUUUUAGAGUUGCCUAUUUUGAGUGUGUUCUCAUGUCAUUAAUUACUGAUACAAGUUGAUACAUGCAGUUGUUUGGAGGAAAGAUUCCUCAGAAGGCACAAAGAGCUGUAUUUGUGUAUAUUCCAUUUCAAAAAAGAGUAACGUGGUAUUCAUCCUUGCUGAUGGAUUAGGAUGUAUGAGAAUAGUUUGGAAGCUGAAGGUUCUCCACAUCUGACUGCACCCAGAUUGGUGGGCUGUUGUUCUUAUAGAUAUAAUUUAAAGGAAGGCUUGUACAUUCCCCAGGUAUCUCACAUGAUGCUAUUGCUCAAGAAUCUAAACGAUAUUGGCAGAAUUUGGAAGCAAAUGUACCUGGAGCACAGGUACUUGGUAAUCAAAUAAUGCCUGGAUUUCUUAAUAUGAAGAUAAAGUUUGUGUGUGCCCAGUGUCUGAGAAACGGUCAAGUCAUUGAACCAGAC